rnacentral:sRNA from 1 species
CAUGCCCCUUAUAUGCUGGGCUACACACGUGCUACAAUGGGUAGAACAGAGAGUUGCAAAGCCGUGAGGUGAAGCUAAUCUCAGAAAACUAUUCUUAGUUCGGAUUGUACUCUGCAACUCGAGUACAUGAAGUUGGAAUCGCUAGUAAUCGCGAAUCAGCAAUGUCGCGGUGAAUACGUUCUCGGGUCUUGUACACACCGCCCGUCACACCACGAGAGUUGGUUGCACCUGAAGUAGCAGGCCUAACCGUAAGGAGGGAUGCUCCGAGGGUGUGAUUAGCGAUUGGGGUGAAGUCGUAACAAGGUAUCCGUACGGGAACGUGCGGAUGGAUCACCUCCUUUCUAAGGAGUAUAAGUCUUUCUCUAUUCUAUUGGUAAUGUUCUUUACAUUACCUCUGAACAUUGGAAACUAUAUAGUAGAACAAACAAGAAAAAAAUUAACUCUAACAAUUUCUUAGAGUUAGCUGUCAAAAAAUAGGUUAAAAUAAUUAAGGGCACACAAAGGAUGCCUAGGUAGUAAGAGCCGAUGAAGGACGUGGUAAGCUGCGAUAAGCCUAG